rnacentral:tRNA from 1 species
UAGAUUAAAGCCAGUGGUUAGGGUAUUUAGCUGUUAAUUAAAAUUUUAUGGGUUUAAGUCCCAUUAAUCUAG